AUACUUACCUGGCAGUGGAGAUACCAUGAUCACGAAGUUGAUUUUUCCAAGGUGAGGCUUAUCCAUUGCACUCCAGAUGUGCUGGCCCCUGCGAUUUCCCUAAAUUUGGGAAAUUCGAAAUGCGUAAGUUGUGGUAGUGGGGAAAGAAAGAAAGGGAAUCAUAGCCAA